ensembl:lncRNA
GUUGGGUAGAGGUCGCUAGGUGUUGGGUAGAGGUCGCUAGGUGUUGGGUAGAGGUCGCUAGGUGUUGGGUAGAGGUCGCUAGGUGUUGGGUUGUGUUCGCUAGGUGUUGGGUGGAGGUCGCUAGGUGUUGGGUAGAGGUCGCUAGGUGUUGGGUAGAGGUCGCUAGGUGUUGGGUAGAGGUCGCUAGGUGUUGGGUAGAGGUCGCUAGGUGUUGGGUAGAGGUCGCUAGGUGUUGGGUAGAGGUCGCUAGGUGUUGGGUUGAGGUCGCUAGGUGUUGGGUUGAGGUCGCUAGGUGUCGGGUAGAUGUCGUUAGGUGUCGGGUAGAGGUCGCUAGGUGUCGCGUUGAGGUCGCUAGGUGUCGCGUUGAGGUCGCUAGGUGUCGGGUAGAGGUCGCUAGGUGUCGGGUAGAGGUCGCUAGGUGUCGGGUAGAGGUCGCUAGGUGUCGGGUAGAGGUCGCUAGGUGUCGGGUUGAGAUCGCUAGGUGUCGGGUUGAGGUCGCUAGGUGUCGGGUUGAGGACGCUAGGUGUUGGGGUGUUAUGUGGUUGAGUUUGUGAGCCUGUUCAUGUUAACAGAGUGUGUGAGCCUGUAGAUGUUGACAGAGUGUGUGUGUUGCAGGGCAGUGUGGGUACUGGGGUGCAGGUGGUCUCAUAACUGUGUGUGUUUGUGAGCCUGUUCAUGUUAACAGAGUGUGUGAGCCUGUUCAUGUUAACAGAGUGUGUGAGCCUGUAG